AGCGAACGCUGGCGGCAGGCCUAACACAUGCAAGUCGAGCGCCCCGCAAGGGGAGCGGCAGACGGGAGAGUAACACGCGGGAACGUGCCCUUUGGUUCGGAACAACCCAGGGAAACUUGGGCUAAUACCGGAUAAGCCCUCACGGGGAAAGAUUUAUCGCCGAAGGAUCGGCCCGCGUCUGAUUAGCUAGUUGGUGGGGUAAUGGCCCACCAAGGCGACGAUCAGUAGCUGGUCUGAGAGGAUGAUCAGCCUCACUGGGACUGAGACACGGCCCAGACUCCUACGGGAGGCAGCAGUGGGGAAUAUUGGACAAUGGGCGCAAGCCUGAUCCAGCCAUGCCGCGUGGGUGAUGAAGGCCCUAGGGUUGUAAAGCCCUUUCGGCGGGGAAGAUAAUGACGGUACCCGCAGAAGAAGCCCCGGCUAACUUCGUGCCAGCCGCCGCGGUAACAC
rnacentral:rRNA from 1 species